GCCGGCCGCGCACGCCGGGCAGCAGUCGCACGCGUCCAGCGCCGUACCGGCCGGGCACCCGGCGGGCGAGGGGGGGCACCGGGACUUGUCGCACGUCUCCGGGCAGCCGACGGCGGCGCGCUUGGAGACGAGCGCGUCCGCGGAGGCGAGCAGGGUGAGCGAGCAAAGGAGCAGGAGCAUCGUUGGGUCGGCUUUCGAACUUGUUCUGCACGGAGGAAAGUCAUGCGGCGCUUUAAAAGCGGCAUGUAAACACGGCGCCUGAUUGGCUCGCCCCUGUGACGUCACCGAGGAGGGCUGGGCCAGGGCUUGCUUUCAUGGGUUGGAUAACACUACAGCUUUCUAAUGGACGACUUCUAACACUUACCUACAGGGGGUGCCACCAGAGGUCCGCUUUGGUGUUGCUGUCCUCCGCGGAUGACCUCAGCAAAGACACCACACUUGGAAGGUUGUGUCCGCAUGCUGGUGCCGUUACGUGUCCUCCGGGCCAAAACACACACUUCCCAGAAACACACCGUGUCCGUCCCCUUGGUUUCGUUGGUCCAACAUGGAGUCACCUGUGGCCUCUCGUCUGUGCUUUCACAGUCAGAAUGAGCCAUGGCCUCACUGUGGCGUCUAGGAGUCAGCAGAGCAAAGUGCGGGUUGUUCCAAAUAUAAAACGAGAAGGGCUGACUGUCGUGUAGCUCCUGGCAGACGGAGUCACCAAAGGUGGGGGAGGACGGCCCUUUGCGAUCCUGCGGAGGAAAUACAGACGGCAGAGGUAAGCGAUGGAUGAAGAUGAUGUGAGGGAUGAUGACAUUCAUUCAUGAUUGAUUUAUGGCCGAGAAGUUCAGUGACACUUUAGCAUCUGGACCACAAUUGGAUUCAUAAGACGAUGACGACAAUGACAGCUGGCAAGAAUUACGCCGAAAAAAAAACCAAGACAUUGUGCAACAGGAGUACACAGUAAAGACGUAUGUAGAGUGUAUAAUCCUAUGUUGUUGUUAUGCAAUUUUCUCAUACUGGAAUUGUUAAUAUUUUUAAUUAAAAA